AGACCUUCCAGCAAUUUUAAUGGAAACCCAGAUGAUGGGUUACCUCGGCUGCAGGAGUCAACAAAUCAGGCUGAAAAAACUAGGGAUGGGGCUACCACAGUCACUUAAGGCAUCCUAUUAUUUCUGGAUCAAAAGCAAGAAAUUCUAGAGAGGAGAUGAACAAAGGUAAUAAGGUGAAAGGUGCAAUGAAGGUGGUGCGCAAUAUACCUGGAUUUGGAAAGAACAGACUUGAUCGGUCAGAUGGUUUUUCUGUACCUGGCAUGGAUGCUCAAGGUCAUUUACCAGUUUCAAAUAAACUGAAAAAUUCGAGUCCUGCUGAAGGAGCACACGAAGUACAGGGGAGUUUUAGUUCUGAUUCAUACAAACAAGCUACAAAUAAUGAGAAGCAGCUUGCUGCUCCUUCCAGUGAGACAGGGUUUGCUCCCACAUUAGGGGACUCGGAUAGUAAUGUUCCCUCUGUUGCAAAACAGACUAUAAGGGACUGGUCCAGUAAUUUCUUUGGCAGCCAUACUUCUUAUUUUAAAUAUCUCAGCCAUACCAGAGCAUGAAUUCAUCUGGCAGUAAGAUUCCUUUCAUUCUUCUUGUAAAUCUGUUUUCUGUUAAUGGAGCAUAUUGCAUUUUUUGUUUUCCUGAUCCUUUUCUGGUUCUUUUCUGCUUGAUAGCUGGCUGUAUGCCACAUGUUCAAAAGCAUUUCACUUAAGCUUCUAUUGUUUGCAUCAGGGGACUUUUUGAGGUGCAUAGAGGUGGCAAACCCCCGGAUUUAUAUGGUGGAAUUCAAGCAUAUCUAUCAACUUUAGCAUCACCUAGAGUUCCUGAAGCGGUUAACAAAUUUCCUGGAAGAGUUCCCUUGAAUGAGGUACCUCGCUUGAGCACAUGGCCGGCACAGUUUCAUGAAAGUGGUGCGAA